rnacentral:ncRNA from 2 species
UAAUGAGAAAGAAUCCGAGUCCUGUAAAGAGGAAUCAGGACCAGCCGACGCUCGUUCGGCGAGGGUAUUGACCGCUUGAAUCAAUGCCUCCCGUGUUUGGAAAGGAUUUUUAACCAGGUUAUU